UACGUAGGGUGCAAGCGUUAAUCGGAAUUACUGGGCGUAAAGCGUGCGCAGGCGGUUUUGUAAGUCUGUCGUGAAAGCCCCGGGCUUAACCUGGGAAUUGCGAUGGAGACUGCAAGGCUUGAAUCUGGCAGAGGGGGGUAGAAUUCCACGUGUAGCAGUGAAAUGCGUAGAGAUGUGGGGAACACCGAUGGCGAAGGCAGCCCCCUGGGUCAAGAUUGACGCUCAUGCACGAAA
rnacentral:rRNA from 1 species